GACCCCAGGUCAGGGGGGAAUCCCCGCUGAAUUUAACAUUCAAUAAAGGGAGAAGA
rnacentral:rRNA from 1 species